GCCGGGCAUGGUGGCUCAUGCCUGUAAUCCCAGCUACUUGGGAGGCUGAGGCAGUAGAAUCGCUUGAACCCAGGAGGUGGUGGUUACAGUGAGCCAAGAUAAUGCCAUUGCACUCCAGCCUGGGCAACAGAGUGAGACUCUGUCUCAA
rnacentral:SRP_RNA from 1 species